UGCCUCAACUCAAUAUAACUUUCUUUUACAGAAUGCCACCAUGGUAUAGUUUGGUGGGAGCAGCAUGAGGGGGCUUAGAUCCUGAACCAGGAGAACCAGAUAACCAGCUUACCUUCCCCAUGGUGACAGAAUAUAUAUAGAAAAAGAAAAUAAAUCACAAAGACAAAUGCUUUCCAGGUA
rnacentral:lncRNA from 1 species